AUACCUGUUACCUACAUCUGUUAAGGAUGUGAGGAGGAAGACGCAGUGAACUGAAACAUCUAAGUAGCUGCAGGAAGAGAAAGCAAAAGCGAUUGCCUUAGUAGCGGCGAGCGAAACGGCAGAAGGGCAAACCGAAGAGUUUACUCUUCGGGGUUGUAGGACUGCAAUGUGGACUCAAAGAUUAUAGAAGAAUGAUUUGGGAAGAUCAGCCAAAGAGAGUAAUAGCCUCGUAUUUAAAAUAGUCUUUGUACCUAGCAGUAUCCUGAGUACGGCGGGACACGUGAAAUCCCGUCGGAAUCUGGGAGGACCAUCUCCCAACCCUAAAUACUCCCUAGUGACCGAUAGUGAACCAGUACCGUGAGGGAAAGGUGAAAAGCACCCCGGGAGGGGAGUGAAAUAGAACCUGAAACCGUGUGCCUACAACAAGUUCGAGCCCGUUAAUGGGUGAGAGCGUGCCUUUUGUAGAAUGAACCGGCGAGUUACGUUAUGAUGCGAGGUUAAGUUGAAGAGACGGAGCC
rnacentral:rRNA from 1 species